GUGGGGAAUAUUGGACAAUGGGCGAAAGCCUGAUCCAGCCAUGCCGCGUGUGUGAAGAAGGUCUUCGGAUUGUAAAGCACUUUAAGUUGGGGGGAAGGGUAGUAACCUAAUACGUUGCUACUUUGACGUUACCGACAGAAUAAGCACCGGCUAACUUCGUGCCAGCAGCCGCGGUAAUACGAAGGGUGCAAUCGUUAAUCGGAAUUACUGGGCGUAAAGCGCGCGUAGGUGGUUCAGUAAGUUGGAAGUGAAAUCCCCGGGCUCAACCUGGUAACUGCUUUCAAAACUGCUGAGCUAGAGUACGGUAGAGGGUGGUGGAAUUUCCUGUGUAGCGGUGAAAUGCGUAGAUAUAGGAAGGAACACCAGUGGCGAAGGCGACCACCUGGACUGAUACUGACACUGAGGUGCGAAAGCGUGGGGAGCAAACAGGAUUAGAAACCCGGGUAGUCC
rnacentral:rRNA from 1 species